CCGGCAGGCCUCCUGAAUGCCGCAUUGUUCACCGCGGCGCCCCGGUUGGGCUGUCCCGGACCCACCCGGACCCACCCGGGCUGGCAGAGAUGGAGUGCAACGAAUAUGGAGAGACAGUGAUAGGGAGAAAUGCGGGGACGAAGGAGCAAGAUGAGGACCUUGUGGACCUGUCCGUCUGUCCUUCUAACCCUGCUCUCUUGACCUGAUGUACAUAGUUCAGGUCACGUCUUUCUACGGCAGCUCCUGUUUCUUUCCGAGGUUCAGAUGCUGCGCGAUCCUCCACGACACUCGGCUCACGGCUUCGGACCACACUGGCACUUCUGCACUAGAGUGACAGUCAUCCUCACUCGCCGAGGGGAGGCUGCGUGGCCAGCCCCACACCACAGCACCACCGACGUCCAGCGCUUUUGAGCUGGCACACAGCUGUUGCAGAGGACAACCGGGGUGGGAUCCGAGCUGGGAAUGUAGAAGGAGGAACAAUGUCCGAAACACAGAUGAUUGAGGACCCUGGCCGCUGUGCAGCCAGGCCUGGAGAGCACCUGCAAGCAGAGACAGGGACAGUCAGCUCUGUGCAGUCUGGGGCCAGAGGGAUGAAAAUAAUUACCAUCCACUUCUACCCCGACAGAAAGGUGGAGGUGCUGAAGGGAGGUGGCCUGGAUUUAAGUUCUGAAUCUUCCUUCUGGCUGCGUGGCCUGCAGGAAGGUAUUCAACCUUUCCAAGCCUCUUUCUUGGAUAAAAUAUUCGAAUCAAGGGCUGGGGAGAGUCAGUAAAGUGAUGUGGUGCAGGCCCGAGGGCCCGAGUUCAGAUCCCCAGCACUCACAUGAACUAGGACUCGGGCCUGUAAUCUCAGCACUGGGAAGGGAAGACAGCCCUGGGCUUGCUGGCCAGCCCAGCCUAGCCGAAUUGGUGAGCUCCUGGGUCAGUGAGAGUGCUCGUCAGAUCAGGCAUGAGGGAGCUGGAGAGGCGGCUCAGUAGUUAAGAGCACUAACUACUCUUCUACAAGACCUAGGUUCAAUUCCCAGCACCCAUCUGGCAACUCACAACUUCUCCAGGGGUCUAACACCCUCUUCUGGGCACCAAGCAUGCUGAUAGCACACAGAUAUACGUGCAGGCAAAACACUCAUAAAAUUAAAUUUUUUUUUAAAAGAACAAAGCAGUUAAGGACCCUGACAUCAACCCCUGUCCUUUGCACACGUGUGUGCCCUCACACACAUUCCCAUAUAAAAAACCAUCCAAAUUAAACUGGAAAGCUGGGCCUGGUGGUGCAGACACACACAUCACAGACUUUCUGGGGGCCAAGACUGGGGAUCAAGAUCAAGGCCCAUUUGGGAAACUUACCGAGACCCUGUGUCAAAAUAAAUAGAAAACCAGAGCUGGGGCGUAGCUCAGUAGAGCACCUAAAUUGACAUGCGCAAGGCUUGGGUCCCAUCCCCAGUGCCACAGAAAAAGGAAAGUCAAGGUGGGGGCGGCUAGAGAUGACUCGGCUCUCAGUCACCCCUAACUCCAGUUUGGGGGGGGUCUGACAUCACUGUCAGGCGUGAGGCACACACCUGGUGUAAUACUAAUGGGAGGUAAAACAUACACAUUAAAUCUUUUUUUAAUCAA